rnacentral:lncRNA from 1 species
GGAGUUUAUUUUUUGGGAGCAAAAAGGCCAGUAACACAGAGGAAGUCGGCCUCCUUUGUGCAAGUCUCCAUUAUUUAUACAGCAAUGACACUUUUUGGGCAACAGUCAGCAUUUGAGCUAGUGAGCAGACAGCCCGGGGUCACUCCCAGAACAGCGGCUGCAAAAAUGCGCUGAGUUUUACAGUUGUGCCAAUGUGCAGAGCAGUCUGUCGGUGCCAUCCUGCCUCCUCUGGAGAUCAGUGCCAUCACCCCAGCAGCUGAGAUGCAACACAUAUCCCCUUUUUGGCAACCUCUCUGAAGGGGGCUUGUGGCCUCCUGUCCACCGCAGAACUGCCUUCAUCAGGAAAACGGGGUACAGGUGUCUUGACUCUGUUACUGAAUCCACAAGGUGGAAGAAGUCCAAGGCUGAAUGGAGCAUCAUUCCCCAGCAACUCGUACCAGAUGUUAAAGAAAUGAAUAGAAAUGAAAGUCAGCAUUCCCUGGGACAAAAGUAUCAAGGCAAGGAAGACCCUUUGCAAAGGAAAAUAAAACAAAACAAAACCAACCAAACAAAAACCCCAAAUCAAUACAAGUGUCAGUGUUCCCAGAACCCGGACCUACGCCAACAUGCCAGAGGUCCUGAAGUACAUGGAAAUACCUUAAGAAAUGAUGACAGCAGGCAUCUUUUCCUCCUCUUUUUCACUGGUGGGUUUGCUCCCUUGUGUUUGCUGCAGAUGAAGGUCCAUGGACAGUCCCCAUGCAGCAGGUUAUGA